CUCCCUCCUGCCCCGGAGGCUCCGGGAGCGCCAGCUAAGGUGGGAUUAGGCUCUCGGGGAAAGGGUAGCAGGGUGGGGAUGGAGCGCUGCCCUUCCGAGGAACGUGGGUGGGGGCACCCUCACUAGAGCGGCUGUGGACAUACGCUAAAUCCCUGCCUACACACCCAAAAUUGCUAGGGCUGUGGACUUUCUCAUCCGCCGCCUCCAGGGCUUCGGUUCUUGAGAUUUGCAGAAGUGCACCUCCACCUCCUGCCCAUUCCGCUGUCGCGUCCUAAACCCAGUGGGAGGCACGGGAUGACCCAGCCCUCGGGACCCUUUUCCCCAGAUUAUAGGUUACUGAGGAUUGCGGGGGUUGGCGGGAGGAAUGACUCCCUACCCCCACCCCCGCCCGUAAAGUUGGUGGAGCGGGUGGUGACAGACAGUUUGCCCCUUUUGCAGAUGGCCCUAUAAAUAAAAAACGCACUUUCUCCCCUGC
rnacentral:lncRNA from 10 species